GCACCCGUAGCUCAGCGGAUUAGAGCAUCUGUCUUCGGAACAGAGGGUCGGGGGUUCGAAUCCCUCCGGGUGUACCA
rnacentral:tRNA from 1 species